GCUUCAGUACCCUGAAUUCAUCUUGUUGAGUAGCUGGGAAGUUUUAUGAAAGAUAUAGCCUGAAUAGCUCAGUAACUCAACUGAAAGACAGAAAGAAAUGUGACUUGGCGAAAACAAAAGAAAGAGCUUCUAGGAUCUGAUGACUCAAAGCAAUACUCUAAGGUGAGCAUCUCAUCAUCCAGCAUUGGGACUGACUGGCUUCGAGACAUACUGGACAUACCAUGCUCUGGUCCCAGCAUCUUAUCCGGUCGUUCGUGGCUUCCUAAGUGAUCACUCCCAGAAGCAUAGUUUUCUAAUGGUAUGUUAUACACCUUAUAUGUACCAAUGUCAAUCUCAUCGAUACUCUGUGACUUUUUGAAUUUAUUAGACUUGAUAUCUUUCAUUAGGGGGGAAAGCCUCUCUGUGCUUUUGCUAAUUGAAAUAACACCUUUAGAAGAUUCCGGGCGGCAGUGGAUUUGAGAAAAGACAUUACUAAGACUCCUGUUGGGAUUGGAAUCAUGAUACUCCCAUGGUACGCCUGGAGAAAAAGGACUAGGUAUUUCAGUAGAUUCCUUUAUAUGUUCUUUCCUUUCAGGCAAUGGGCUGGUAGUGGGGGUUGUCUCUAAUUUGGAAGGAAAAGCGGUCCUGUCUUCAAACGGACUAGGGGUUCUGGUCCAAUUCUGCCAAGGAUUGGAAGGAGGCACUUCUGUUUCUGGUGUGUGUCUGUGUGUAGACUGCUCGAGUUCCAGGGGAACACCAACAAUCCUGUCUUGCCUGAUCAAAGGCCUGCGUCCAUGCGAAGAUGUGCUUCUAGAUUUCGAACUUAAGAGAGGAUUACUGUUGGCAUUCUCGGCUGUGGUUUCCUCAGCAACAAACCCUGUGUUGUCAUAAUGCGAGCCAUCAGUCCAGUUGUCAGUGAAAGUAUCACUCAUGGGCAGCCGGUCAGGACGCUGUGGUAUAUUGCCUGGGGGAACAGCCUCCCGCUGGCUGAGUAAUGGCUUUGAAUCAAGAGGCUGUGGGAAAGAUGGUGCAAUCCUGUGAACACAAUGGGAAGAAGAAAUUGAAAAGGACGAAGAGUUGGGUCUUUGGCAGAAAGAGAACAAGCAGCAAAGAGGGCCAUCAUCCUUUGUUUAACUGAUCAAUAAUCCUCACCUGACUUAUGAUUAAGAUAGUAUUAUUAUUUCAUAUUUUAAAAAUCCAUCCCUUUAUCCUGCUUUAACUUUUUUUUCCUAGUAAUAAUCACCUUCUAAUAUACUAUAUAAUUUACUUAUCUAUUACGUGUAUUGUAUCUUGUGUUGUGUCCUCUGCUAGAAUAUAAACUCACAAUGGUAGAGAUCUUUUUCUCUGCAGGCCUAGACUAAUGCCUGGCACAUAGUAGGUAUUAAAUACACAUUUGUUGAAGGAAUCAAUGAAGGAAAUAUGUAGUUCUUAAGUAAUGGUCUUGAAACCUGACUGAUAAUUAGAAUCAUAUGAUUCCUGAUACCCAUUCCUGGAGAUUCUGAUUUGGUACAUUUCAAACUAUUGGCCGAGAGUACCUUUCUUACAAAUGCUUGGUGUAUCUGAUGAAUCUAAAUUGUCUUCAGAUGACUUUUAUUUGAAGGUCAGGUUUUGAAGACACUAAAUGCUAUUGUAUAGGGAGCAUAUUCAGGUAUGUUUUGUAGAAUGUAAAUUAUAUUAUGACUUUAGAUCACUGACAUGUUUGUACCACUGACCAUGUUAUUUCUAGCAGAUACUGAGAUAAUGCAAAUAAUGAAUUUACAAACUGAAAGAGUUAUGAUUUUUAUUAUGAGCAUCAAUGAUUAGGAAAAGUUACUCAUGAAUUACUAAAGAAGACAUUGCCAACAGUGGCAAUAUUAUCAGUAAAAUAUGAGUAAAAGUUAUUGACUACCUAUAUAACAAUUUUAAUUUGCUAUUUGUAGUGUAAAACAUAGCAACAAGUUACAAAAUGGAAUUAGAACUGGGAAAACAUUGCCUUAUUGAGUCACUUUAUUGUGCUCUGUGUGUGGUUUUUGUUUUUUCAUCUGUAAAAUUAGAGUAAUAUAGAGGAGGAGGCAUUUUGGAAAGAUUAAGUACUUAAAAAUACAUCCUGACUUUUCCAGGUGGUGAUAAAAUUAUGAUGACGAUAGCAAUGAAAAUUUAUUGAACACUUACUCUGGACCAGACACCUAAGUGUUUUACUGGCAUUUUAUUUUAAUUCAUAAUGCCAUUUUGUAUGUUAAAACAUCCAUGUCUCAUCAAUAAGUAUCAGUGGGCAAACACAUUUUUUUUUAUUUUUUAAAUUUUUUGUUCUACCAUCUCAUCCUGUUAACUCCUACCAUGUCUUCCUUAACCAAUGGCCUCUCCCUGUAAGGUGGAUUCAUCUGUUCCUGGCAGUCCCAGGCGAACAACAUUUGCUUACCUGCCCCUUCUGUCUUCUAUGCCACUUGUGUGCCGAAUACAAUUCCAAAAUUAAGAAGAUUCCAUUUUUUAAAAAGUUGCUGAAAAUAAACGUUUGGGAACAAAAGGAGGGAAUUCUAAACACACCUGUUACCCCACAAAGAAUUAUGUACUGCAUCUUUAGCUGUUGUCUGCAAGGACCCCACUUUAACCCGGGUAUUAGAGGAUCCUGAGGAAGCCUGGGAAGGCGAGUAGUCUGAGUAAGUGCCUGAGGAAACACUGUUAUUCAGACAGUGAGUUUUGUCAACUUCAGACUCAUCAGUUGAUUCUGAAAUUUAAAGGGGAAAAUGUUAUAAUGCUAUGACACUGACAAUUACACGGAAAAGCAAGUAUGAAAAAUGGAAACCAUACCGAUUAAGGUUAGAAAUGCAUAUUUGUAAAACAUUUGUAUAGAAUAUGGUGUAUCAUAAUUUACAACUGGCGAUUCAUCAUGCACAUGCAUUUGUAGCAUAUUUUCCACAUUGGGUUCACAGUGUUACCUUUUUUGUCCUUCCCUAGCAGAACAAGUUUGGGUGGGUACAGAGGGGUCUCAGCUAAUGAAGGGUGAAGUUCCCCAAUCCUCAUUUCAUUAGCUGGAUGAACAAAAGAAUCCUGAGAGAUAUAAUAAUACAGGACAAGGAAAGUAAACAUUUAAACAAUGGUUAACCAAAGUGGCAGUAUCUUUAUUUGGCUCAGAUUAAAAAAUGUGACUCUAGAAUUCAGUUCACUGUGAGGCACUGGGAGAAAUAAACCAUAUGUAUCUCUGA
rnacentral:lncRNA from 1 species